CACACUAUCAUUAACUGAAUCCAUAGGUUAAUGAGGCGAACCGGGGGAACUGAAACAUCUAAGUACCCCGAGGAAAAGAAAUCAACCGAGAUUCCCCCAGUAGCGGCGAGCGAACGGGGAGGAGCCCAGAGCCUGAAUCAGUGUGUGUGUUAGUGGAAGCGUCUGGAAAGGCGCGCGAUACAGGGUGACAGCCCCGUACACAAAAAUGCACAUACUGUGAGCUCGAUGAGUAGGGCGGGACACGUGGUAUCCUGUCUGAAUAUGGGGGGACCAUCCUCCAAGGCUAAAUACUCCUGACUGACCGAUAGUGAACCAGUACCGUGAGGGAAAGGCGAAAAGAACCCCGGCGAGGGGAGUGAAAAAGAACCUGAAACCGUGUACGUACAAGCAGUGGGAGCCUCUUUAUGGGGUGACUGCGUACCUUUUGUAUAAUGGGUCAGCGACUUAUAUUCUGUAGCAAGGUUAACCGAAUAGGGGAGCCGAAGGGAAACCGAGUCUUAACUGGGCGUUAAGUUGCAGGGUAUAGACCCGAAACCCGGUGAUCUAGCCAUGGGCAGGUUGAAGGUUGGGUAACACUAACUGGAGGACCGAACCGACUAAUGUUGAAAAAUUAGCGGAUGACUUGUGGCUGGGGGUGAAAGGCCAAUCAAACCGGGAGAUAGCUGGUUCUCCCCGAAAGCUAUUUAGGUAGCGCCUCGUGAAUUCAUCUCCGGGGGUAGAGCACUGUUUCGGCAAGGGGGUCAUCCCGACUUACCAACCCGAUGCAAACUGCGAAUACCGGAGAAUGUUAUCACGGGAGACACACGGCGGGUGCUAACGUCCGUCGUGAAGAGGGAAACAACCCAGACCGCCAGCUAAGGUCCCAAAGUCAUGGUUAAGUGGGAAACGAUGUGGGAAGGCCCAGACAGCCAGGAUGUUGGCUUAGAAGCAGCCAUCAUUUAAAGAAAGCGUAAUAGCUCACUGGUCGAGUCGGCCUGCGCGGAAGAUGUAACGGGGCUAAACCAUGCACCGAAGCUGCGGCAGCGACACUAUGUGUUGUUGGGUAGGGGAGCGUUCUGUAAGCCUGCGAAGGUGUACUGUGAGGUAUGCUGGAGGUAUCAGAAGUGCGAAUGCUGACAUAAGUAACGAUAAAGCGGGUGAAAAGCCCGCUCGCCGGAAGACCAAGGGUUCCUGUCCAACGUUAAUCGGGGCAGGGUGAGUCGACCCCUAAGGCGAGGCCGAAAGGCGUAGUCGAUGGGAAACAGGUUAAUAUUCCUGUACUUGGUGUUACUGCGAAGGGGGGACGGAGAAGGCUAUGUUGGCCGGGCGACGGUUGUCCCGGUUUAAGCGUGUAGGCUGGUUUUCCAGGCAAAUCCGGAAAAUCAAGGCUGAGGCGUGAUGACGAGGCACUACGGUGCUGAAGCAACAAAUGCCCUGCUUCCAGGAAAAGCCUCUAAGCAUCAGGUAACAUCAAAUCGUACCCCAAACCGACACAGGUGGUCAGGUAGAGAAUACCAAGGCGCUUGAGAGAACUCGGGUGAAGGAACUAGGCAAAAUGGUGCCGUAACUUCGGGAGAAGGCACGCUGAUAUGUAGGUGAAGCGACUUGCUCGUGGAGCUGAAAUCAGUCGAAGAUACCAGCUGGCUGCAACUGUUUAUUAAAAACACAGCACUGUGCAAACACGAAAGUGGACGUAUACGGUGUGACGCCUGCCCGGUGCCGGAAGGUUAAUUGAUGGGGUUAGCGGUAACGCGAAGCUCUUGAUCGAAGCCCCGGUAAACGGCGGCCGUAACUAUAACGGUCCUAAGGUAGCGAAAUUCCUUGUCGGGUAAGUUCCGACCUGCACGAAUGGCGUAAUGAUGGCCAGGCUGUCUCCACCCGAGACUCAGUGAAAUUGAACUCGCUGUGAAGAUGCAGUGUACCCGCGGCAAGACGGAAAGACCCCGUGAACCUUUACUAUAGCUUGACACUGAACAUUGAGCCUUGAUGUGUAGGAUAGGUGGGAGGCUUUGAAGUGUGGACGCCAGUCUGCAUGGAGCCGGCCUUGAAAUACCACCCUUUAAUGUUUGAUGUUCUAACGUUGGCCCCUGAUCGGGGUUGCGGACAGUGUCUGGUGGGUAGUUUGACUGGGGCGGUCUCCUCCUAAAGAGUAACGGAGGAGCACGAAGGUUGGCUAAUCCUGGUCGGACAUCAGGAGGUUAGUGCAAUGGCAUAAGCCAGCUUGACUGCGAGCGUGACGGCGCGAGCAGGUGCGAAAGCAGGUCAUAGUGAUCCGGUGGUUCUGAAUGGAAGGGCCAUCGCUCAACGGAUAAAAGGUACUCCGGGGAUAACAGGCUGAUACCGCCCAAGAGUUCAUAUCGACGGCGGUGUUUGGCACCUCGAUGUCGGCUCAUCACAUCCUGGGGCUGAAGUAGGUCCCAAGGGUAUGGCUGUUCGCCAUUUAAAGUGGUACGCGAGCUGGGUUUAGAACGUCGUGAGACAGUUCGGUCCCUAUCUGCCGUGGGCGCUGGAGAACUGAGGGGGGCUGCUCCUAGUACGAGAGGACCGGAGUGGACGCAUCACUGGUGUUCGGGUUGUCAUGCCAAUGGCACUGCCCGGUAGCUAAAUGCGGAAGAGAUAAGUGCUGAAAGCAUCUAAGCACGAAACUUGCCCCGAGAUGAGUUCUCCCUGACUCCUUGAGAGUCCUGAAGGAACGUUGAAGACGACGACGUUGAUAGGCCGGGUGUGUAAGCGCAGCGAUGCGUUGAGCUAACCGGUACUAAUGAACCGUGAGGCUUAACCUU
rnacentral:rRNA from 1 species